CAGCAGCCGCGGUAAUACGUAGGGUGCGAGCGUUAAUCGGAAUUACUGGGCGUAAAGCGUGCGCAGGCGGUUGUGUAAGACAGGUGUGAAAUCCCCGGGCUUAACCUGGGAACUGCGCUUGUGACUGCACAGCUAGAGUAUGGCAGAGGGGGGUGGAAUUCCACGUGUAGCAGUGAAAUGCGUAGAGAUGUGGAGGAACACCGAUGGCGAAGGCAGCCCCCUGGGCCAAUACUGACGCUCAUGCACGAAAGCGUGGGGAGCAAACAGGAUUUGAUACCCGAGUAGUCCCUGUCUCUUAUAC
rnacentral:rRNA from 1 species